GUCAUGAUUGAUCUUCCCUGUCCUACCAUCUGUCUUAGGCUGAGAUUGAUUGCAGCUGCACUUACGAGAGCCAGUUUCUCCAUUGACUACAGAGAGACCUUGAAGGAUAGUUAAGGUGUACACGUCUACACUGCAACACUCCACAGUAGCCUGUCUCUUUGCACCCUUAGAUUUAUUAUUUCCUCAAGUUCAUAAAUACCAUGCAAGUGGUAAGGAUUGUAAGAAGAGAAAAAUCACUCUAUCAGAUGAUGCCCCUUCUACAUGAUUUGAAAAGGACCAAAGCUUAGAAGGAAGGAAGGGCAGAGAUGAUAUAAUAACAUAGGCAUGAGAAAUCAAAGCAUGCACCUCAGAGGGAAAACAUGCUGAAGCUGGAGGACUCAAGAUCUGUGCUCAGUGUUGAUCUCCAAGUAGCUCCACCUAAAACAUCGGAAAUAUCUUUGUCCUAUAGUGAGAAAGAGCUUUACCUUCGCGGGAACAGGUGGUUCACAGCCCAUGAGCACCUCUCACCUGG